UACGGAGGGGGCGAGCGUUAUUCGGAAUUAUUGGGCGUAAAGGGCGCGUAGGCGGCUGAACAAGUCAAAGGUGAAAUCCCUCGGCUCAACUGAGGAACUGCCUUUGAAACUGUUCGGCUUGAGGCCGGGAGGGGGUAGCGGAAUUCCCAGUGUAGAGGUGAAAUUCGUAGAUAUUCGCAAGAACACCAGUGGCGAAGGCGGCUCACUGGCCCGAUACUGACGCUGAGGCACGAAAGCGUGGGGAGCAAACAGG
rnacentral:rRNA from 1 species